GAAGUUCAAUAAACCAAUUUAACUCAAAUUAGUGAAAUCUGAUACUAUGUAGCAGGCUUGCCUUUUGGAGCUUGGGUUGAGUCCCAGGCUUGAAAUCUUGCUGUUUUGAUUGGUGGAGCUCAUCCACCAAUCAGGAGGCAACAAGAGGAGUUAAGUCAUGCUCCUUUCCUGAGGGCCAGGGAGAGGAGUUUCCCCCCCACUCCUGGACCUGAUUGAAGACUGCAACACUCAGGUCUGGAAGACUUCAGGGGUGGAGCCCUGGAGCAUAUAAAAGAAGCUGCAUGCCCAGCAUGAGGGAAACACAUCCGGGACAGAGAAGAGAGAAGAGCGGGGCUUAGAAGAGCUGAGGAAAGCUGCUCAGCGGGGCAAAGCAGUAGCCCAGAAGCGUCUCUGAAGACUUCCAUCAGUGGGGAACGGCAGACAGCUCCAGCAGGUAAUGUCCUCAGGAACUAGAUGUGGAAAGGCAAUGACACAGCAUCUAUUUCAAGCUAUUAGAAAACAAGAAAAUGCAUACACAUGCAAAAAGAUGCAAGUUAUUGUGCAGCAAAAGCAGAACGCUGAAGGAGGUAGGAGCAGCAGUCAUAAUCAGAUUCUGAACUGAUGAGCAAAAAAGGAGUUUACUGGGUUUUUUUAAUGGCCACUGGGAUUACCCUUUCUUCCAGAGAGAGGCACACCAAGCAACUUUUGCAGGGGGGGUUUCCCCAGCAAGUGACCUGUUUUUAAAAUUCAUGCAAAUGAGAUUCUACCCCAGUGUCUAUGAAUUCCAGACUUCCAGCUGAAUGCCAUUUCAUAAUGAAAAGGACCUAACAAGUACUUCCCAGCUGUUCCAAAGCAAAGCUGGUUUCUCUGGUUUUUAAAGCAAAAAGCAAUUCUGUCUGAUCACUGUUGUUGUCCCAACAGGAAAUGGGGUGACUGGGCUCCAAGACUGGCUUCCAGCAUGGUGGAAAUGGAGUAACAGAAAGGAAUUUUAGAACAGAGAAUAAAUGCAAAUAUAGAGGCCUCACACCAGUACUUAGAUUUGUCAGGGGAGGUUUUAAACAAAUUUUACUUCUUUAAUUUGCUAUGCAGGCAUAAGCAAUCAGCAGAUUUCAUGUGCAAUUUGCUGUGAAUUGGCAUUCUUGCUCAAUAUACUCUUAGGAACCAAAAUUGAUGAGUGUGAUGGGUGAUGAAAGCUGAGUUUGAGGCUUACAGUAUUUCUACACACUCACUGCAAUACAUUCAAGCUUCAGUAAGCAACGUGUGUUGGUUUAAAGCAGAAGGUGCAAAAAUGUGAAUCCUUGUUCCGAUCAGUUGUUAUGUAUAUUUAUGAAAUAGGGAUUCUUUGCUCAUUCUUUGUGGAGGAUAAAUUAAGAUGUACUUCAUGGAAUAUGUCACAUCAGAAAUCCAGCCCUUCAGCCAUGCAGUGCUUAAAUUGUGUUCCCCUUUUUCAGUCAGUUGUAUGGCAACUUUCUGACCUCAUCUUGCUAACUAUACAGGCCAGCCCCUAUGUCUCUCAAUGAGUUACAUUUGCAAUUGUAUGGAAACAGCAGCAAUUAGUUAAGCAUGCUUCUGCCUGCUUUCUUUCCUAUCACCCAACUUGUACUCUGUUGAUAGUUACUUUUUCUGUACCAAAAACUGCUUACAAUUCCAGUAGACUACAGUUGGUACUGAGCAAUUUGGAAAAAUAUUUACAGUCAGUGUUCUGCACUAAAUCAUUUUUUAAAAUUAAUUAGCUAAUUUUUAAACACAUGUAAAGGACCUCUUCUAGUACUGACUCUCCAAGCCAAGUUUCUGCUGGAGGAAUUUCUACAACACCUAGCAGUGGCCAUUAACCCAGGGGUGAGCAAUUAUUUCAGCUGGAGGGCCACUUAAGUUUUGGUGAGCUGUUGAGAUGUUGAGGGCCGCACACCUAAAAUCUGUAAAAAAUUAUCAUGUUAACAAAUUAUAGAUAAAAAAACAAAAGGAAUCAAAACUCAUGGAAGAGGUAAUGUCUUUUAUUAGGCCAACUAGAUAUUUGCAAACAAAUUAUUAUAUUUAUCUGCAAGCUUUCAAGCACACACACCCUUCAUCAGGCAUAGGAGAGAGCAGAGAUUGUAAAAAUUCUCCUAGGUAGAAAUGAAAAUUCAUAUUUCACAGGAGAGCUGAAGGUGUGGUAAAAGAAGCUCUUCGGUGUAAUAUAAAUUUUAAUUUCUACCUAGGAGAACUUUUAUGAUCUCUGCUCUCUUGAUUCCUUUUGCCUCUAGACCAAUAUGGCUAUAACCUGGAUACCAGAUAAAAAACAAAUCAUAUAUGAACAAUCAAAUAUGCACUAUAACAUAUUUUAAUUUCAUUUAAAAAAAUAAUUCUUGUCCCAGUUUAGGUUUUUUUGAGUAGCGUAUAUAGAGGUGAUUGCAUAAUAGCUCAAAACAAGUCUUCUUUGUGUAGGGCAGUGGGGAAAUGUGAAGGGGAGAAGGAGGGGGUUGUGUGGGGGGGUCUGGGAGGUAUAUGGGAGGUGUGGAGUUUAGGUGUGUGUUUUCGGGGAUGUGUGCAUGUGUGGAGGGCUGCCUACAUGCUGGGAGUUGCCUGGGGUAGCGGUAGGGAAGGAGAGGGUAGGGGGGUGGAUGGAGUGGGUGAAAAAGCAGUCAGGAACAGAAGCUAGAGCCCCCUGUGCUGGGGGAGGAGCCACCUGGCUAUAGUUCCCUGCCUGGCUCGGUGUGUAGUGCCCGACACAAAUCCCCAUGGCUGCAGUCCUUCCCUGUGCUACCUACUGCCUGGAGCAGCGCAGCAGGUCCAGGAGAUGGAGAAGGAGUUGCUGGCGAUGGAGGGAGCGGAGCAGUACCAAGGCAUCUGCAGCCAGACUGGGAGCUGUUCUGUUGUGAAGCUGCGUGUGCUGGCCAGAGCCGGAGUCAUCAGGCAUGGGUGGAAGCACGAUGCAGGCUUCCCUGGCAGGAGUGGAUGGGGCUUGGCCCCAUGCAGAGUGCCACAGGGGCAGCUGUGGGCCAGAUACAAUCAAUUGGUGGACAUCCACUCACAGGUCAGAUCCAGCCUGUGCACCAUAUUUUGCCCACCCCUGCAUUAAACAGUCGACAUUUGCUAAAAGUUACCACAGCAGCACCUGAAAUAACACUUUUCCCCUGUCAGUACCGAGAAUGUGGGAUAUCUAUGGCAACAUUUGGUGAAAAGAAACUUUUUAAUGAUUGGUUGACAGAUCACAGCUAGGAGCUGCAGAAAUGUGCUCUAAAUUGAAAUGGUUUACACAUUCAGUUUUGAGGACCACUUUAACAAAAGUGCAAUUGAAAAAAAAAUCUUGUGCAAAAAAGAGCAAGUUUUUCAUUCCUUGGAAUGGCUUUUCCCGUGUUCAAAAAUGCUAUCCAGUCUGUUCAAUAAGAAAGUGCCACUAUUUCAAAUGUGUCUGCUGCUAUUAAUAUUACUGGAAGACUUCUAUUCCUAUGGCCAGUGGUACAUGGAGGAGACUAACACUAGACAUGCAUGGUGGGACUGUAGAUGGGGGGCAGCUGUGAGGCCACGUCCUGCCUGUGAGGCCAUGUCAUCCAUCCCAUGGGUCUAUAAAUUUGGUGGCAGGGGUGUAAGGGCAGCAUUAAUUACUGCUUCCCCCCUGCCAAACUUCUGGAUUCGUGGGAAGCCCCAUGGGCUGGAUGAUGUGGCCCUGCAUGCUAGAUUGCACUGGUGUACAGUGCAACCAGAAUGCAGGGUCACACCAUGGCUGGAUCUGGCAUGUGGUGUUGGGUUGUUGGCAUGUGGGGAUUGACAUAGGACCUGGUGCACAAACUGACCAUAUGGGAUUUGGCCCACUGUAUGGCCCUGUGCCACUCAUCUGGCAUGGGGGGCUGGAAGGUCGAGCAGCACUGAUUUAGGGAAAUAACUCUGUUAUAUAUUAUUUUUGUUCUCCUCAGUAACUAUUCUAAGUAGCACAUAGUCAGUUUGCACCAUAUACUGCAAAAGUACUAUAUCAGGAGGUAUCAGGAGGUGUCAAAAGAAAUAUUUACUGCUGCUGAAAAAGUCAUCUGAACAAUGUAGUCCAACUUUUCACUAGUCAAAACCCUGUAGAACUACUAAACUGUGAUGGAAACAUUAUUGUCGGCUGAUGUCAUAUGCUGGGCUUCAUUAUGGUAACCUACUUUCCUUGCCAUGUCUUUCUGUUCCAUCACUUUCAGCAUGUGGCCAAGCUGCAGCAUUUAUAUGAGUGUGCUCUUUGCGAGCACUGACUUAUUUUACAGAGCAUUUUGCUGAUAAUGGCAGCCAAGUUGUAGGAUGAAUGUGGGCAAUUUGAAAAAAAAUAUUGCUCAGGAAGAAAAAUAAGUGAAUGCAUCAUCCUGAAGGCCUGCAUUUCUAAUACUUUUCUUUACUGAAAUCAUCCUAUUUCGCUCAGUCAAUCAAUCUUAGCUUAAGAAUUACCAGUUUAGCCCAGUUUGUAAACAAUCCAUAUGAGAGAAAGGGAGAGAGGGAGUGCAUGUGAGCAUAUACAUACACUCAAUAGAAUGAGACUCAUUUAUCAGCAAUCAUUGAGUACAUAUAAAGGCAACAGAAACCAUGGAAACAGCAAUGUCAUAGGCCUGAGGUGAUGGUGAACAAACAACUGGAUCUAUGUUUGUGAUACAAAAUGGCCACUGCAGCUUGGAUGCGUUUAGUAAGAUAUAAUAUGGUAGAACAAGAAAAAGGAGAGAAUUUCCCUCUGCUUUCUAGUGUUAAGGUGUUUGGAUCCAGGCUCAGAUUAACCCUGUAGUGCGCCUUAGGCAAACUAAGUAGGGCCCUACUUAAUACUGUAUAUUUAUAUUCCUUUUUUUCACUCAAUAAUUAUAAUAUGUGAAAUAAGCACAACUGGGCCCCUUCUUCACUUAGGGCCCUAGGCAUGUGCCUAAUUUAUCUAUACAUUCAUUUGGCCCUUUUCAGAACUGGUUACUGUUUCAUAAAGAAGGACCCCCAAAUUAAUUACUUUUUGUAAUUAAA